rnacentral:rRNA from 1 species
GAUCCUGGCUCAGGAUGAACGCUAGCGGCAGGCUUAAUACAUGCAAGUCGUGGGGCAGCAGGUUUGUAGCAAUACAGAUGCUGGCGACCGGCAAACGGGUGCGGAACACGUACAGAACCUUCCUUUGAGCGGGGAAUAGCCCAGAGAAAUCUGGAGUUAAUACCCCAUAGUAUAAUGAAGUGGCAUCACUUUAUUAUUAAAAGAUUUAUCACUCGAAGAUGGCUGUGCGGCUGAUUAGGUAGUUGGCGGGGUAAAGGCCCACCAAGCCUGCGAUCAGUAACUGGUGUGAGAGCACGACCAGUCACACGGGCACUGAGACACGGGCCCGACUCCUACGGGAGGCAGCAGUAAGGAAUAUUGGUCAAUGGAGGCAACUCUGAACCAGCCAUGCCGCGUGGAGGAUGAAGGUCCUCUGGAUUGUAAACUUCUUUAUAUGGGACGAAAAAGGCUUUCUAAGUCGUCUGACGGUACCAUAUGAAUAAGCACCGGCUAACUCCGUG